AGAUUGAAUGACAAAACG
rnacentral:tRNA from 1 species